UACGUAGGGGGCUAGCGUUGUCCGGAAUCAUUGGGCGUAAAGCGCGUGUAGGCGGCCCGAUAAGUCCGCUGUGAAAGUCCAGGGCUCAACCCUGGGAUGCCGGUGGAUACUGUCGGGCUCGAGUCCGGAAGAGGCGAGUGGAAUUCCUGGUGUAGCGGUGAAAUGCGCAGAUAUUGGGAGGAACACCAGUGGCGAAGGCGGCUCACUGGACCGGAACUGACGCUGAGGCGCGAAAGCGUGGGGAGCAAACGGG
rnacentral:rRNA from 1 species